rnacentral:rRNA from 1 species
GACGAACGCUGGCGGCGUGCUUAACACAUGCAGGUCGAACGAGGCCCUGUCUUCGGGCAGGGUUCUAGUGGCGAACGGGUGAGUAACACGUGGGCAACCUGCCCCCGGCUCUGGGAUAACCCCAAGAAAUUGGGGCUAAUACCGGAUAUGACCGCUGGCCGCACGGUCUGGUGGUGGAAAGUUUUUUCGGCUGGGGAUGGGCCCGCGGCCUAUCAGCUUGUUGGUGGGGGAGUGGCCUACCAAGGCGACGACGGGUAGCCGGCCUGAGAGGGUGACCGGCCACACUGGGACUGAGACACGGCCCUGACUCCUACGGGAGGCAGCAGUGGGGAAUAUUGCGCAAUGGGCGGAAGCCUGACGCAGCGACGCCGCGUGGGGGAUGACGGCCUUCGGGUUGUAAACCUCUUUCAGCAGGGACGAAGCCGCAAGGUGACGGUACCUGCAGAAGAAGCACCGGCCAACUACGUGCCAGCAGCCGCCGUAACAC